rnacentral:tRNA from 1 species
GAGGGUAUAGCUCAGUAGUACAUCUCAUGUUUUGCAUACAUGAGGUCCUGGGUUCAAUCCCCAGUAACUCCA